AUGCGGAUCAAUGGUACUACAAAGUCCGCCCUUGCGAGUCACUUAGGUGAAUCGAUUUCAGGGGCUAUAACGAUAAGGGCCUUUGAGGGAGAAGAUCAUUUCUUUGCUAAAAAUUUGGAUCUUGUUGACAAGAAUGCCAGCCCAUAUUUCUGUAAUUUUGCAGCAACUGAAUGGUUGAUUCAACAUAUAGAAAUAAUGAGCGCCAUAGUUCUUUCUUCUUCUGCCUUUGUCAUGGCUCUUCUUCCUCAAGAAACUUCUAGCCCUGGUUUUGUGGGAAUGGCAUUGUCCUAUGGUCUUUCUCUAAAUACAUCAUUUGUUUCCUUUACUCAAAGCCAGUGCAACCUUGGGAAUCAAAUAAUCUCAGUGGAACGGGUGAGCCAAUACAUGGACAUACCAAGUGAAGCAGCAGAAGUCAUUGAAGACAAUCGACCAUUGCCAGAUUGGCCCCAAAAUGCCUAUGUGGAGAUUAGGCAUUUGAAGAUCAGGUAUAGGAUAGAUGCUCCCCUUGUACUACAUGGAAUCACUUGCAAUUUUGAACGUGGAGAUAAGAUUGGUAUAGUUGGUCGAACAGGAAGUGGCAAGACAACGUUAAUUGGUGCAUUGUUUCGCCUUGUUGAACCUGAUGAAGGGAAAAUAAUUAUAGACUCUGUGGAUAUCAGUAUGAUAGGCUUACAUGAUCCGCAGUCGCGUUUGGGUAUCAUUCCACAAGAUCCAACACUGUUUCAGGGUACAAUAAGAUACAAUCUAGAUCCUCUUGGGCAAUUCUCAGAUGAGAAAAUAUGGGAGGUUCUUGCCAAAUGUCAACUUCUUGAAGCUGUCCAGGAGAAGGAACAAGGACUGGAUUCACAUGUUGUGGAAAGUGGGUCAAACUGGAGCAUGGGCCAAAGGCAGCUCUUCUGCCUGGGAUGCGCACUUCUGAGAAGGUGCCGCAUCUUACUUCUUGAUGAAGCCACAACCUCUAUAGACAAUGCAACAGAUGUUCUCCUUCAGAAGACGAUCCGGACAGAAUUCAAAUAUUGCACUAUUAUUACAGUUGCCCACCGUAUACCAACAGUUAUGCACUGGGAUAUGGUACUUGCAAUGAGCGACGGGAAAGUAGUAGAGUUUGACAAACCUACAAAGCUCAUGGAAACUGAAGGAUCUCUCUUUCGCGAGCUGGUCAAGAAGUAUUGGUCAUACACUUCGAGCACAAAUAUCUAG
rnacentral:rRNA from 1 species